rnacentral:sRNA from 1 species
GUGAGAGCUGGGAUGGGUGGGGUGGGGAAGAGGGGGAAGGUGGGAGGACGGGUGUGGGAAGCGGGGGCAGCUGAGCCCCGCUGAGGCUGGUCUCCUAGGCCAAGCAGAUCUCCCCGGAGCUGUCGGCCCUGGCCGUGUACUGCCACGCCACCCGCCUGGGAACCCUGCACCCUGCCCCCAACGCCCCGCAACCCUGCCAGGUCAGCUCCCUCAGCGAGCGCAAAGCCAAGAAACUCAUUCGGGAGGCAGGGAACAGCUUUGUCAGGCACAAUGCCCGCCAGCUGACCCGCGUGUACCCGCUGGGGCUGCGGAUGAACUCAGCCAACUACAGUCCCCAGGAGAUGUGGAACUCGGGCUGUCAGCUCGUGGCCUUGAACUUCCAGACGCCAGGCUACGAGAUGGACCUCAAUGCCGGGCGCUUCCUGGUCAAUGGGCAGUGUGGCUAUGUCCUAAAACCUGCCUGCCUGCGGCAACCUGACUCGACCUUUGACCCU